rnacentral:lncRNA from 1 species
AAUAUUUUGAGCUAAGUUGUUGAGUUGGAUGCUUGACCAUUAUAAUCUAUGUCUACUCACAUUCGAUACCUGCAUAUGGAAACAAACAUAAUCGUACACAGAGUACUCAAUACUCAGUGGUGCUAAUAUAACUCAAAUUCAAACAUAUUGCAUUAAGAAUAAACUAAGUAUAUAUAACAAGUAUCAAUUCCUUUGAUAAAUACUACUUUAACUCAUCGUAACAUUUUAUAACUUUCUUAUUCAUUUCACAUUUUAAUAUCAAUUUCAAUGUUUAUUCAUUCCCACCCCUAUUAUUCGACGAUAAACAUUAGGACGGAUACUCAGAUUUAUUUUAUUUGAUCAUCUUCGGUUGUCCAACAAUGAGGACUUUAGAAUUUGUAUAUUCUACCAUCCCAGGUUUCUUGUGUAACAACCCUAACCUGUCUCCAUCAUCGGAUUAAGGUUACGGAGUAUUACAAGACAAAACAAGACAUUUCACUUCAUUUCAGAACAAUUAAACAAAUAAUUUAUAAACAUAUAUCAAAAAAAUCAAUUUAUGGUAUAAAUACACUUAAAGGCCUUAAAUCGAGCUCACAGGGCCCUAAAAAUAGUUUGGGAACAAUCCGGAACUAAUUUGAAUCAAAAUAGAAAAAAUAUGCAAAAAUUAGAAAAUUUUGGAAACAGGGGUCACACAGCCAUGUGGAAUAGCCCAGGCCGUGUGGCUUCCCCACAUGCCUGUGUGGGCAGGCCGUGUAACUAAAUGUAACCAUGUGUAAAAUCCUUCACCUAAAAAUUAAUAAGACACAUGGCCGUAUGGAAUAGCCCAAGCUAUGUGCAAUUUAAAAACCUUCUAAAACAAGGCAAACUUUCAUCCAACACUUAGGUUCCAAGCCAAAUCAAAAUAGACCAUUUCCAUACUUUAAAAACACAUUUAAACAAGCCUAAAACAUGGCAAAACAAUCAACCUAAGUGCCUAACCAAUGUGCCCUCAUUGACACCACAAUUCAAUUAUCAACCUCAAUUCACUUGACACAUCAACUAAUUUGCAUUCAAAUUCAUAAGUUCAUAUAUAAAACUCAUGCCAAACUUAUCAUUUCUUCUUAAUCAUUCACAUUCAUUCAUACUAUGAUUCAAACACUUAAAUAAGGUUUAUAUCACAUGACCAAAACAACUUUAUAUGAACAUAUUCACACCAAGAUUAAAGGCACAUACACAAGUAAGCUUAUACCAAGCUUAAAACAUAACAUUUGUAAUAAGUAUCUAAACUUAUACAAAAACACCUAUAUCAUGCUAUAUAACCCGAAAUAAACAUAUCAAAAUCUACCAAAAUGUAUUUGGAUAGUGUGAUCUUCAAGUUGAUCUAAUUGCCCGACUCCACAAAACGUCAUCUAUAAGGAAUAAAAAAGAACACGAGUAAGCUUCACUAGAGCUUAGUAAGUUCAACGGUUAAAACGAUAAAGCUUAUCGAAUUAAAUAUAACAAUUUUAAUAACAAGAUUAAAAGUCAGAGUCUCCUGUCAACCACAAUCCACAACAUGUGUGUUUAUACAUAAACAAGUACGGGAUCAUUCACUAUCAAGCCACAAUGUUAUCAGGAGAUUCAUGAAUAAUCAUUCAACAAUUCAAUAACAAGAUAUUUAACACAAGAAACAUUGUCUGAUGAACGAUAUACGAAUAUGAGUACACAGUUAUCCAUCUGAAACACGCCAAACAUUCAAACGAGUCAAUCCAACCGAUAACAAGCCUCGACACCAGCACCAAGGGUCUAGCCCGUAGGCUAACAUCCCUCCUAUUGUAACAGCCCUAUACUCGACCCGAUUGUCGAGUCAAGGCAUCAGGAUGUCACAUUCGUUGCCGAAGCGACUACUGAAAAUUUCAGAUCAAUUUAUCUUAUUAUUUAAUUAAUGUAGAUCAUUAACUAAUUUUAGUAAUAAUUGAAUUUACGAUAGAACUAAUUAUGAGUUGAAGGACCUCAUUAAAACAUCCACAAUUGAUCAAAGGCCAAAUUGUAAAGUUCAUAAAGAUUUUUGAACUAUCGUUGCAACGUUGGGGGUUUCCACGUCGUGACAUGACGAACUUGUCAUCGUGACGUCGUCUCCAUUUCCUACAAGUUCCACGCUUUAUUUUUAUUUAUUUAUUUUACAUUACCUGAACCUUAUUUAGAUGUCAUAACCACCACUUCAUUUUACAUAGUAUCCACUUACAUAUAUUUCUAAUCUCAAGUCCUCAUAAAAACAUGAUAUUCAAUUAAAUAUAACAAAGUUUAUAAAAUUAACACAAAUGUUAAAAUUUUACAAAUAAGACCAUUGGAGGACUUGCACUUGCAAAAUUAGUUUACCCACUUUAUGUACAUUUCAUAUUUAUUUCUAAAUUGUGCCAAUCAAUUUAAUUCUUCAUAAAUUUUUAACAAAUAAUUCACAUCAAUUAACAAUUAUUCACUUAUUAUGUUAUCAAUUCGUUUAAACAUACUCAUAUGUAUCAAUCAUUCCAUCACCUACAACCAUUUCAAAACAUUUCAAAUUCGUCUACUAUAUAUAUAUAUUCAUAUAUUUUUGUCCUCCUCCUCUCCAUUCCACAUCCUUUAUGUGUAUAUUUGUUAGAAUCUUUAACUUUUAGUAUAUAACAUGCUUAUAUGUAACAUUAUAUAUAAUUUCACUAUUUACUUAUGUGUUCAUAUCAAAGCUGUCCACUUGAGUCAUAGUCACCAAAUUAUUUAUAUCUCGAGCUAUAGAAUUCGAAAUUAAGAUCCGCUUGAUGUUUUUGAAACUAGACUCAAAUAUAUUUUUACCAUAAAAAUUUCAGAAUUUAUGACUUAUCCAAUAAGUACAAUAAAUUCUUCAAAUUUGUCCCUAUUCUGCUAUUUGACAGCUUCGACCUUUCUUUACUAAAAAUUAAUUAUCUCUUAGUAAGGGAUUUGGAUGAUGUUUCCGUUUGUUUCUCUUGAAAAUAGGCUCAUCGGGAAUUUAAAAAUAUAAAUUUAAAUUCAUAAUUAUUUUUUAAAAUUUUUGAUGAUUUUCCAAAGUCAGAACAGGGGAACCCCAAAAUCAAUCUGACAUUGCCUCACAAAAAUUCAUAUAUCUCAUAAUAUGAAAUUUUUUUGCUUACACCGUUUCUUCUAUUUAAACUAGACUCAAUAGGCUUUAAUUUCAUACUUUAAUUAAACCUCUAAUUCAAAUUCUAUAAUUUUUUGGUGAAUUUUCAAAGUUAGACUACUACAGCUGUCCAAAUUUGUUUUAGUGCAAAAUGUUGAUAACCAAGUUUAUAAUACCCUCAUUUCCAUUCUCUACAAUAUUUCCCAUCACUUCCUCUUAUUUCCCUUCACUAACAUAUCAAGAACAUAAAACCUUAUAUAAGAAAACUUUACUUUAAUAUCAUUUUCAUGCUUUUUCAAUAAUAUCAAACUUAAAAAUAUAUUGAAAUCUUGAUGUUCUUACCUUGUCCUAUUGAUUUCAAUCUUUAACUUGAUUUUCGAUUUCCUCCAACUUCCAUUUUCUUGAAUCCAAGGUGAUUUUAUUGUUCUCCGUAGUCUCCUUAUCACUUUUCUCUCUUGGUGAUUAUGAAAAUUUCUUGAAAUUCUUGGUGAAAAUGGUGGAUUUUUUUGUGGAAGGACCAAAUUGUAAAGACAACAAAGUUUUCUUCUUCUCUCCUCCUCACUCGUGUUGGAAAGAUGGGAGGAUCCUCUCUUCUUCUUCUUUUUUCAUCUUCCUCUCCUUUUAUACUAACUAUUUAUAAUAAAAUAUUUAUAAAAUAUAUCAUUAAAAUAUUAAUAAAGUAAUAUUUAUCUAAUUAAAUAAUUAUAAAAUAUCAUCAAAAUAUCUCCAGCAUCAUCAUUGCAUUCUAGAGUUCUCUCUUUCUAAUUGACCAUUUUGCCCUUUAUGAUCUUUUAAAACUUCAUCCUUCAAUCAUCACUUAAUUUGGUAAAAUUACGAUUUAGUCCCUCAUAAUUCUUUACCUAUUCAAUUUGGUCCCUGCAUGCCAAUUCCAUAUCAUAGUAAAUUGGAUUAUUUUCACUUUUGGUCCUUCAACUUCCUUAUUUUUACACUUUGAUCCCUUAAAUUUUGAAUAUUUACACUUGAGCCAAAAACUUUUCACAUAUUUAUGAUUUAGACCUUACUUUAAAUCAAUAUACUAAAACCUACUUCUUAAUUAUUAUUAUUACUUUUAGUACUCCUCAAUAUUCUCUUUUAUUAUCUUUAUAUCAUUUUCUUAUUUUAUCUAGAAAUUAAUUAUACAUCAUGUCAUGCUUCUUGAUUUAACUCUCUUUUGAUGUCUUGCAACUUUUAUUUUCUUUGAUCUUAUACCUUAUUUCACAAAAAUGUUAUAUCAUAUUAUUUACGACCAAGGAAAUUUUGAGGAUGUUACACCUAUAAUACGCCUCGGCACCAAGUGCUAAGCCUGAAGGCUUUACAUCCGCCCCUUGUAACACGCUAGAAACACUGUAAAUAUAACACUAUAGUUCGCAACAAAUGCUAGGCUUCGAUAUAUUUAGUAAACAGGAAAUAAACAGAAAUUGUCAUCUUAUCUCAAACUGAUCCCGAACAGUAUGCCAGUCUUAUUCUAUCCUGUGUUCACCUGGCUCAGAAGUUGUUUUUGUAAAACACUGAUCCAAGCAAUUUAUUACCUCAAUUCAUAUUAAACUAACAGUAAAACAUUUAUUUCAACAUUCAACAUUCAGUACAUCAUUCAAUUUAUAUUGCAAUUCAUAUCAAAAUAAAUCGAACGAACUUACCACGACUAAACUGCAUUAAUGGCAGAGAUUCAGGGACUAUUUCCCUUUUUCUCGGUUAUCUACUUGUUCUUGAUAUAUGAUAUAAUUUAUUUUAAUUAUUAGCCUCAAUUUCAUAUACUAUUCAAUUUAUUACAUAUAACUUCCUAUUUACAAAUUUGCACAUUAAACCCCAACCAUUUACAUUUUAUUCAAUUUGGUCUUUAAGACGAAAACAAGCUUAUUUCACAUUAUUAAACUUUAAACCCAAAGAACCCAAUUUAAACCAGUCUAAAACAUCCCCUUAAUUUCUAAAUUUUUCAAGAAAAACCAUAUCUAUUUAAAUUUAUUUUCAAUUUAAUCCCUAGACAUGAAAUUUACUAAAAAUCUCUUUACAAUUUAUUCUCAUCCAACAAUCAAGCUUUCAAUAAAAUCACAUAAUAUCAAAAAUACUCAAAACAUCAAUAAUAAUUUUUUAAACGUUUAACGGUUAUACAAAUUAGUUCUUAAACUAGUUAGAUAUCAAUACAACAAUUACAAAAAUAUAAAAUUCAUGAAAAACGAACCAAGAAAACACUUACAUGCAAGCAGAACUCAAACCAAAACUUCCCCAAUUCUUCCCAUGGAGGUUCGGCCAACAUAAAGAAGAAAUGAAAAAGAUGACACCAUUUUACGCUUUCUAUUGUUUUAAUUUUUAACUUAAUUACAAAAAUGUCAUUAUCACAUUUUUUUAAAUCCAUUUCCAUUUACCUGCCAUCCACUAACAUCAAAUAAGGUUUAAUUACCUUGUAAGACCCUCACUUCAUGUUUAAAUAUCCAUUUAACACAUAAUCUAUUAAUGACUUACUUUUGUAACUUUUACAAUUUAAUCCUUUUUACUUAAUUAACUAUCUAAACAUUUAAAUAUCUUAACCAAAAUUUAAUACGACACUAAUGACCUCGUAAAUAUUAAAUAAUCAAUAUUUACAAACUGACACAUCAGAAUUUGUGGUCUCGAAACUACUGUUUCGACACCACUAAAAAACGGAUUGUUACACCUUGGCAACGAUGACUUUUACUAUUUGUCUGUACUGUUCAUUCUAUCAUCCCAUAUUGCCCAACAACGGUAGCUAGUAAAUCAUUAUAUCGAUGACACUAUGACAAGCCAAGUAUACCUAAACUACGUCUAACAUCGUUUAACAAUGCAUUAACAUCAUAAUCACCUUUGUAACACAUAUCAUCAUAAUAUAAAGUCUCAACAAUUUAUAUACAUAGCAAACACAAUUUCGAAUGGUUAUCUCAUAUUGCAAAUAUCACCAAUCGGAUCCAUUAUCGAAAGUUUAUAUGGUUUUCACUUUGUCUCGAAACGGUCCUACAUCGUCUUUAGCUAUGAAAGUAAACCUGAAUACAAAAAUUCAUUAAUCACACGAUUCAAACAUAAUUUGCUGUAAUUUAAACAUGAAUGCAUUUAUUACAAUUUAGUCAUUUGAAUUCCUAAUGUCUAAAAUGCUCGUACGUCGUGAUCUACUUGAUUGAAUUUAAAAUUAACUUCAUAACUAUAGUACAGGGACCUCAUGAUACUAUUAGCUAUCAUUUAACCUCAAAGUUUCUACCCUUUACAAAUAAGUCCUUAAACAGUACACAAUUUAUAAAAUAAUUCAAGCUUAAUUCAAGAUUAAAUUGCUACCUUCUGCUAUGUUUUUAUCAUGUAAUUAUAUAAAUAAAUUCAUCUCAGUCAUGCAUGAGCUUAAGCUUUAACAUGCAUCCAAAUUUUCUUUAAGCAUUCAAUAAGGAUAAUUUAAUUAACUCUCUUGAAUCCUCAAAUCCUAUACAUGGGGUUUAUUUACCAUGAUUCAUAUAUAUUAGAAAUUUAUAUAAAAACUAAACAAAUUCAGACUUACAUGGCAAGUGGGAGAGACGACAACUUGAGAAGAAAAGAAACAAAGUUUGCUUCCUCCUUACUUAGCUAAUCGGUGGAGAAAUGAAAGAGAUGAAGAUAUGUUUUAAUCUUCUC